rnacentral:rRNA from 1 species
GAUCCUGGCUUAGGACGAACGCUGGCGGCGCGCCUAACACAUGCAAGUCGAACGAGAGAGAGGAAGCUUGCUUCCUCAAUCGAGUGGCGAACGGGUGAGUAACGCGUGAAGAACCUGCCUCAAAGAGGGGGACAACAGUUGGAAACGACUGCUAAUACCGCAUAAGCCCACAGGUCGGCAUCGACCAGAGGGAAAAGGAGCAAUCCGCUUUGAGAUGGCCUCGCGUCCGAUUAGCUAGUUGG